rnacentral:rRNA from 1 species
UACAGAGGGGGCGAGCGUUGUUCGGAAUUACUGGGCGUAAAGGGCGCGUAGGCGGCCCGCUAAGUCGAACGUGAAAUCCCCAGGCUCAACCUGGGAACUGCGUCCGAUACUGGCAGGCUUGAAUCCGGGAGAGGGAUGUGGAAUUCCAGGUGUAGCGGUGAAAUGCGUAGAUAUCAGGAGGAACACCAAUGGCGAAGGCAGCUCGCUGGGACGUGACUGACGCUGAGACGCGAAAGCCAGGGGAGCGAACGGG